AGGGAUUGACAGAGUAUUGUGUUCAGCUGGGGGCUCUGCAUUUUUUAAGGGAUGUGGAAAAGUUCGAGAGAGACCAGAAAUGGGACAACAAAAAUAAUUAAAGGCUUGGAAGGCAAGCCAUAUGAGGAGAGGUUGAAGGAAACAAGCAUCUUUUCCACAAGCUAAACAUGCCUAAGAGGGGACAUGAUAGCACUCUCCCAAUGUCUGAAAGGCUUCCAUAAAGAAAAGGGAAAACACCGUUUCUCCCUAGCUGCAGAGAGCAGGGCAAGGUCCAAUGGCUUGAAGUUGCAGCAAAGCAGGUUUGGAUUGGAUAUCAAGAAAACUUCACUGUUAGGUCCAUGAGGGAAUAAACUACAUAGGGCAGUUGUGUAUUCUCUGUCCUUGGAGGUGUUCACUAAGAGAAGGAUCAGCACUGGAAAGGGAGGAUCUAGGAGUAGCUAGGCCUAUGCUCAAUUGCAGGCAUCUCCCAGGCUUUGCUGGCUGCUGUGGCCUUGAACCUGGGGCUUCAGCCUACCUGGCACUCACCCUGGUCUGUCGUGUUAGCAGAGCAUGGGGUGGACACAGCUGGCCCUAGGCAUGCACCCACCCCCUGCCACUGGAGUGACCAGCUAUACCCUUGACUUAUGCUGCUACUGGCAUCCUGACAGACCCUCUGGAAGCCUGACCUGGCUUGCCCAUGGAUCCUGAGUUUGGCCCAAUCCUUUGGAUACCUGAUCCAAUUCUGGUUUGAUUUCCUGGUACCUGACCCAGCUCACUUCCUGACCCCAUGCUCUUUCUGAUCCUCUGGAUCUCUGAUUUGGUUCCUCAGAUGGAUCUUCUGGCUCCUUGGCUUCCCUCUACCCUGACUUGGCAUGAUCCCCUCAGACCUUGGCUGCUUUUCCUGACUGAGUGCAGAGAACAGACCCACUCUGGAGGAGAAUCAGGACUCUGUCGUGAGGGACAGUGCUGUCUGUAGGACCUUUGCUCUGUUUGCUGCAGAAAGAAGAAAGUGUGCAGGAAGAGAGAAGAUACUGCCCUGGAACACUGAGUUCUGUCCCUGCCUCUGCUGGGCAGCCCUGUUUAACAAACCUUCUUACAGGCUGUCACUAACUCUGUUUUCUUAAUUUUCGGGGUGCCCAAGUCAAUGAGCUGUGGCCUGGUUUUCAGACGUGCUGAAUACUUAUCAUUGCAGUCAAAGUUGCUGGGACCUGUGCUGGAGUAUACAAAGUGCUGCAUACACUAGGGGUCCCAGGUCCCUCAAACUGGAAAUCCACAAGGAACGGACAUCCGUUGUGUUUUAGCCUUGAUUUCUGAGUCUUGGUUCCCCAUCUGGAAAACAAGGAUGAUAAUACCACCUCAUCUCACAGGAUGUUUAACAUUUGACACUGUAGUGAUGAGGACUGUAGAAAACCCUGAGAAGCAUGUGUACAGUGUGCAGUAAUUAAAACCUGAACAAUAAGGAUAAAACAUGGUCCCUCUCCUAUGUCCCCCCCCCAUUCUCUCCUACACACACAAUUUAGAGAUCACCCCAGCCAGCAAGUCCUCUAACUCCUCCUGCUGAAACUAAUGAAGUGCUACUAGGCAAGAAAGGAGCCCUAUGAAGGGGAGAAAAAAACAACAUGAUCGUGCAAUUAAGGCAGAUUUAAGUUUGCAGAUACAGUUUCAGCUCUGGUGUUUCUCAACAUCUGAGCCUAGACUUUGCAACCUUGAUGCCUUUUUAAUGCAAAGAUUUGUUUUUAAACUGUAAUACUAUAUAGUGAGCUGUUUUAGGGUAUAAGAUGUUGAACAAGUACAAAAUAGUUUUGUGUAGUCCAAAGUGCAGAAUUGGUCAGAGUGCUCUGCUGAGUCAGAUUUUUCCCUGACUUGGCAGCUUGCUAACACUGUAGAGAAGUAUGAAUCUCUGGCUAAUCAAUUGUUGUUACAAGCUAGGGCAGUGAUUCUUAACCUUUUCAGAUUCAAGGCACGUUUGGAAAAUGCCAGCUGUUACCUUUUUCUCUUUUCUUGACUACAGAAAAAUAAUAGAGUGAUUCUGCUCUUGCAAAGAACUUGGCAACCACCACAGGUUCUUUCAGGUCAGCCAGCCAUCAAGAUCUUUAUGGGAAAGGAUGUUGCAACAUUCAGUGCUUGGGCCCUAAAUAUUGAGUGAUGGCCUUUCAUCUCUGCCUCUGUUCCACACUCCUGAUGUUACACUUUGCAGGUACAGACCUCUUCUUCUUGCCAUAUGCAUGUAUUUAGGUAAUAUCUUACUUGUGUUCCUUUUGCAUGCUAGGGAAAACGGGUGAGAAAAAGCCCAUUUACAGACAGCUUUCCUCCUUCCCAGGGCAGCAGCAGCUUUUAAUGCCGGAUGGCUACAAGAGAUAUGCUCAAAAUGCUGACCAUUUGCAAUCCAAAUGUACACCAUCUAGGGCUGGAGGAAAUAGCACACAAUGGUGAUGAGCAAACAGCUGUAGGCAGAGGUUGCAAAACCAUCUACUUGGCACAAACUGAAUGUGUGUGAUGACUGCUUUUGCCUGCUUGAUCGUACUCUGCCCCUUCUAUUAUGUUUGACUUGUGCUAAAACAAACUGCAGCUAAGUUUAAUGCCAAUGGGAAGCACCAGUCUACUUGCAUCCUGAAUCCAAUGAGCUCUGCUCUUGCAAUUCACUCCCUCCCCUAGCAAUGUGCCUGGAAUAGUCAUGAGAGGGAGAGAGAGAGAAGAGUUAGGUCUCUACAGCAUCAUUCUGUCAUUGGCCUUUACAGCAAAGUGUA